ACCUAACUCUUUCUUCAUGCCUAACACAUGCAAGUCGAACGAGACCUUCGGGUCUAGUGGCGCCCGGGUGCGUAACGCGUGGGAACCUGCCCUUAGGUUCGGAAUAACUCCCCGACAGGGGUGCUAAUACCGGAUAAUGUCUUCGGCCCAAAGAUUUAUCGCCUUUGGAUGGGCCCGCGUUGGAUUAGCUAGUUGGUAGGGUAAAAGCCUACCGAGGCGACGAUCCAUAGCUGGUCUGAGAGGAUGAUCAGCCACACUGGGACUGAGACACGGCCCAGACUCCUACGGGAGGCAGCAGUGGGGAAUAUUGGACAAUGGGCGAAAGCCUGAUCCAGCAAUGCCGCGUGAGUGAUGAAGGCCUUAGGGUUGUAAAGCUCUUUUACCCGGGAUGAUAAUGACAGUACCGGGAGAAUAAGCUCCGGCUAACUCCGUG
rnacentral:rRNA from 1 species